rnacentral:rRNA from 1 species
UACAGAGGUCCCAAGCGUUGUUCGGAUUCACUGGGCGUAAAGGGUGCGUAGGUGGUUGGGUAAGUCUGAUGUGAAAUCUCUGGGCUCAACCCAGAAAUGGCAUUGGAUACUAUCCGGCUUGAGUGUGCCAGAGGGGGGUGGAAUUCCACGUGUAGCAGUGAAAUGCGUAGAGAUGUGGAGGAACACCGAUGGCGAAGGCAGCCCCCUGGGGUAACACUGACGCUCAUGCACGAAAGCGUGGGGAGCAAACAGG